AUUGAACGCUGGCGGCAGGCUUAACACAUGCAAGUCGAGCGAGCGGCGGACGGGUGAGUAAUGUCUGGGAAACUGCCUGGCGGAGGGGGAUAACUACUGGAAACGGUAGCUAAUACCGCAUACCAUCAGAUGUGCCCAGAUGGGAUUAGCUAGUAGGUGGGGUAAUGGCUCCCCUAGGCGACGAUCCCUAGCUGGUUUGAGAGGAUGACCAGCCACACUAGAACUGAGACACGUGCCAGACUCCUACGGGAGGCAGCAGUGGGGAAUAUUGCACAAUGGGCGCAAGCCUGAUGCAGCCAUGCCGCGUGUGUGCAGAAGGCCUUCGGGUUGUAAAGCACUUUCAGCGAGGAGGCGUUACUCGCAGAAGAAGCACCGGCUAACUCCGUGCCAGCAGCCGCGGUAAUUC
rnacentral:rRNA from 1 species